AGUGAACGCUGGCGGUAGGCCUAACACAUGCAAGUCGAACGGCAGCACAGUAAGAGCUUGCUCUUACGGGUGGCGAGUGGCGGACGGGUGAGGAAUACAUCGGAAUCUACUUUUUCGUGGGGGAUAACGUAGGGAAACUUACGCUAAUACCGCAUACGCCCUACGGGUGAAAGCAGGGGAUCUUCGGACCUUUCGCGAUUGAAUGAGCCGAUGUCGGAUUAGCUAGUUGGCGGGGUAAAGGCCCACCAAGGCGACGAUCCGUAGCUGGUCUGAGAGGAUGAUCAGCCACACUGGAACUGAGACACGGUCCAGACUCCUACGGGAGGCAGCAGUGGGGAAUAUUGGACAAUGGGCGCAAGCCUGAUCCAGCCAUACCGCGUGGGUGAAGAAGGCCUUCGGGUUGUAAAGCCCUUUUGUUGGGAAAGAAAAGCAGCAGGUUAAUACCCCGCUGUUCUGACGGUACCCAAAGAAUAAGCACCGGCUAACUUCGUG
rnacentral:rRNA from 1 species